rnacentral:rRNA from 1 species
AUGUUUAAAUCGAGGGCCCCUGAUUCUAGUCUCGCCCCGGGCCCCAGAAAACUCAGGACCGGCCCUGCCUCAACGCGUUGGGAGCUUGGCGAUAGCGCAUCCUGCAGAUUCUGGGAAGAUCAUUGGCUGCACGGCAACUCUAUCUCCGAGAUUGCCCCCCUGAUACACACGCUGGUUCCAAACCGACGCCGUCGGCAGCGUACGGUGCGUGAUGGCCUGCUUCACCGGGCU